rnacentral:rRNA from 1 species
AUUGAACGCUGGCGGCAUGCCUUACACAUGCAAGUCGAACGGCAGCACGGGGCAACCUGGUGGCGAGUGGCGAACGGGUGAGUAAUGCAUCGGAACGUGCCAUUGAGUGGGGGAUAACGUAGCGAAAGUUGCGCUAAUACCGCAUAUUCUGUGAGCAGGGAAGCAGGGGGACCGCAAGGCCUUGCGCUCUGGGAGCGGCCGAUGUCGGAUUAGCUAGUUGGUGGGGUAAAGGCCUACCAAGGCGACGAUCCGUAGCGGGUCUGAGAGGAUGAUCCGCCACACUGGGACUGAGACACGGCCCAGACUCCUACGGGAGGCAGCAGUGGGGAAUUUUGGACAAUGGGCGCAAGCCUGAUCCAGCCAUGCCGCGUGAGUGAAGAAGGCC